GGCUCAGGACGAACGCUGGCGGCAUGCUUCAUACAUGCAAGUCGAACGAUAAGGUCUCUUCGGAGAUACAUAAGUGGCGGACGGGUGAGUAAUAUGUAGGAAAUCUGCCCUUGAGAGGGGGACAACAGAGGGAAACUUCUGCUAAUACCCCAUAUGAGCGUACCUGAAAUGGUAUUCUUGAAAACUCCGGUGCUCAAGGAUGAGCCUGCAUCUGAUUAGCUUGUUGGCGGUGUAAUGGACCACCAAGGCGACGAUCAGUAGCUGGUUUGAGAGGAUGAUCAGCCACAAUGGGACUGAGACACGGCCCAUACUCCUACGGGAGGCAGCAGUAGGGAAUUUUGCGCAAUGGGCGAAAGCCUGAACCGCAGCAAUGCCGCGUGAACGUAGAAGCCCUUCGGGGUGUAAAGUUCUGUCAGUGGGGACGAAUUUUGACGGUACCCACAGAGGAAGCACCGGCUAACUCCGUGCCAGCAGCUGC
rnacentral:rRNA from 1 species